CAGACUGCAGUGCAAUGGCACGAUCUUGGCUCACCGCAACCUCCACCUUCUGGGUUCAAGUAAUUCUCCUGCCUCAGCCUCCUGAGUAGCUGGGACUACAGGCACACACCACCAUGCCCAGCUAAUUUUUGUAUUUUUAGUAGAGACGGGGUUUCACCAUGUUGACCAGGAUGGUCUCAAUCUCUUGACCUUGUUCUCUAAUGACCAGUGAUGAUGAACAUUUUUUCAUAUGUUUGUUGGCCUCGAAAGAAUUUGUUACAUACCACCUAAGAUUGUCAAGCCACCUUCUGUAACCCUCACGCCUCCCAACCUCUCUGCUUUGGUAGUCUCCAGCAACUGUUGUUCUCAUCUUUAUAUUGAGCCUCUCUCUGUAGUCCAGGCUGGAGUGUAAUGGGACAAUCUUAGCUCACUGCAACCUCCGCCUCCAGGGUUCAGGGGAUUCUCUUGCCUCAGCCUGCUGAGUAGCUGGGAUUACAGGUACCUGCCACCACAUCCUGCUAAUAUUUUGGUAUUUUUAUUAGAGACACGGUUUAACCAUGUUGGCCAGGCUGGUCUUGAACGCCUGACCUCAGCUGAUCUACCCACCUCAGCCUCCCAAAGUGCUGGGAUUACAGGCAUGAGCCACUGCACCAGGCCAUUUGAAUGAUUUUCUUAUUCAAGUUCAAAAUGGGUCAUAAAACAGUGGAGACAACUCAAAACAUCAGCAACACAUUUGGUCCAAAAACUGCUAAUGAAUGUACAGUGCAGUGAUAGUUCAAGAAGUUUGGCGAAGGAGACAAGAGUCUUGAAGAUGAUGAGCAUAGAGGCCGGCCAUUGGAAGUUGACAAUGACCAACUGAGAUCAACAUCGAGGCUGAUGCUCUUACAACUACAUGAGAAGUUGCUGAAGAACGUAACAUCUACCAUUUUAUGGUUGUUUGGCAUUUGAAGCAAAUUGGAAAGGUGAAGAAGCGCAGUAAGUGGGUUCCUCAUGAGUGAAUGGAAAUUUUUAAAAAAUGUUUGUUUUGAAGUUUUGCACAACAACAAAACAUUCCU
rnacentral:lncRNA from 13 species